UGCAUGGAGAGGUGCACAUGCUGCCUUCACAGGGCAGGCUGGGGGGUGGGGGGGGGCGCACAGAUCUGGCCAGGGUGGUGCUGUGCCCUCCCCCCCCCCACCACUUGCAAAAGCUGGGCCAGGGCAUUCCAGCUGCAGCCAGACAGCACCAGGCCACACCCACUGGGCUCUCCCCCCACACACCCGAUUCAACUGGCUUCACUCUGCGGCUUUUCUCUGAAAGCCCUCCUUCCCCCAGGCUUGGACACAACUGCAGCUGGUGGGCUGGUUCCUUUGGAACGAGACAGGGCUGUUCUCAGGAGUCUGAGAGCCAUUUCUAUUGCCCUGCAGCGCCCAGGGAGGGGCAGGGUGCUGUGCCUGCCUAAGAGCCCCCUUCCCAACGCCAUCCUUUUCCUGUCAAAAGUCACCUCUUCCAAGAAGCCCUCUGAGAUUGGGUCCAGCAGCACUUCCUUCUAAUCCUGCCCCUCUCCCUGGGACUGAGGUACUGCCAGUUGUGUGCUCUUCUGCAACUCCUGAGGGCGGUAGGCUCACGUUGCACAUCUGGCCUGGCAGUGGCUGACUGGAGCCUGCGGGGCCUGAGCGGAGCCACAGAGGCUCUGCGGGAAAGGGCGCUUCCCGCCGGGGCCUCGGACCACACGCUGCAGCCACGUCUCCGAAGUCACCGCGUCCACCUUCCAGGCUCCGAGGACAAUGGCCAGCCCAUCCCCACGGGAGGCUUUUCCCGGUUCUGAGGCGCCUGCCCCAUCACUCCUCUGCCCCAGCGACGGCAGCCUGGGAAGCUGUCCUUUGCGUGAACCUAAGUCUGGUUUGCUGCGCACGAAGCCCACCUUUUCUUGCUGCUUUUAAGAACGAAGGUCAGUCCACCGCCAUCGUACACAUGCUGCCCACUGGCAUCAGACGCCGGCUGCUUCCACGGCCCCAGCCCAGUCCCCGGUUUCUUUAUUCUCAUCACUGAGCAGCUCCUCUGCCAGGCACCAGCAUGCCGAGGCCAAUGGGUCUCAAACUUCAUCCUCAAAUUUGUAUAAUCUUCUAUGGAGAGGGGUUGGCACAUAAAUAUAUUUAUUGAAACAAA